GCGAUUAUAUCUUAAAGGCAAAGUCAAAGAUUUCCAAUCUUUUUAUAAGGGUUCAAUUCCCUUUAGUCGCU
rnacentral:tRNA from 1 species